rnacentral:lncRNA from 1 species
UGGGUGCCAGUUGGGCAUGCCAAAAUUUGUGGCUCGUGUGUGUGCUUGUGCACGCAAAUACACACACAUACCAUGUUUACAUGGUUCAAUCUUUGCACCUCCUCACCCUCUCUGAUAACAGCUGGCCUGCCAUUCUGUAUAGCAGCAACAUUGUAGAGAGUUAUUUCUCCAAAUUGCUCCAGGCAUUUGCCUACCUUCAGCAGUGGUGGAGAUUGCCUUUCAAAUGUUACCUUGAUUCCCUGAAGACAUUGACCGUCAACUCCCUGAAUUUUAGCAGAAUCUUUAUGGGUUCCAGGAGCAUUGUCAGUACUAAGAGUCAAAUUCCAGAGACCAGACAUCACUGGGUGAUUGCAGCGACUUCUCACUCAGCAGGUCUUGGCAGUGUCUUUGGCCUUGGCAGUCCUAAGAGGACCAAGGGCGUGUGGUGAUAUAGUUUAGGCUGUAAAAAUGGUGGCUUGGGAGGGAAAGGGGAAUGGGACUGGCAAGUUCCAACACAAGAUAGAUAUACUCCUUGGUAAUAGAUUUGGAAAUAACCUGAUGAUGACUGUAUGUUGUAACUCAAGUCAGCCAACCUCUUCUCUUUCCCCCCCGGUUGCACUUUCAUACAUAUAUUCUGAACCAGAUGAUGGUGCACAAUACUGCAUUAUGUGAGCUUUCAAGUGACCAGAAUUUGAUAGCCAAGGGGUCAUCUUCAGAUUAAUUAUUCAUGGAAAUUCUUGCCAAUUGGGAAUAAGAGGAAAUUACAAUCGAUGAUUAUGGUAAUUUGUUUUUGUUUAUAGAGAUCGACUUUCAGAAAUGUGUCUGAGUAAAUGCAUAGUAAAAAUUCCACAAAAUAACAAGACUGUUAAAAAUGGGAAGGAAAGAUAAACUAAAAUCCUAAGUGUUUACUGCUUUAUUUACUUUAUCUCUGAGCUUUGUAACAGCCAAGUUAAUAGGAAAAACAGAGAGAGAGAAAGAGAGAUCUGGAGGGCAUACAAGCAAGUUGUUGGUAUAGAUCAGAUAAUAUGUAGAGAGCUCACCAUGAUGCCUGGCAACUAGAAUAUAUUCAUAUGAAAGAUCAAAUUAUGCCAUGGACAGUGCUUCAACUUGGAUUCUACAGAAAAUGAAGUUUAUAUGGUCAUGUGUUUUACCAGUCCUCAAGAGGGAGAAAAAAAUUUCAGAAGGCUCAGUGAAGAAAAGUAACCAGAUAUGAGUUAUCUCUGGGGCCCAAGCUCCUGUGAUCCAGUGAUGGAGAUUCUGGCGAUGAUCCUCAAUGCAGAAAACCUAGUGGAAUGAAUGGCUAACAUGUCCAUUAAACUAACUUUCUGAGACAUGCAGUGUGUCCACCAGGCUUUUCAUUAGAGCAAUCUGAGAGGACAGAAUAGGCAGGUACUUGAAAAUGACCCUAUAGCCAUAAACUUCCCUGAUUGGUGGACCUUCUGCUUUGUGCUUUUAGUCUAUGUAGUUCUUAUACUUCAGGAAGUCUGUUUCAAUUCCUGCCCCCACCUCUAAAUUGUGAUGAGAGGCUGUGAGUGGGUUUAUUCAUCCUUGACACUCCAGUGCCUGAUAGAUAAGGAGCUUGGCACAAGAGCACAGGUAAACUUCUAGUGGAAGAACAGAAGGGAGAGAAGGGGUGGUGCUUCUCAUUUUCCUCUGUGUUGGUAAGUGAGUGCCAUCUUCUAACUUUUGGUUUUGCCCAAAGUGAAUGUUUACUGCCUGGAUUGCAUCAUAGGCCAAAUCAUGCAACUGUUUUGCUAAGAAGGGCUUGUUCUGGUGUCAAAGCUGGUUGAGCAAUGCAUGACAAGUUAACUCCUUACUUUAUUUACAGUCACUUUGAUCCUUUGAUUUGAUUGCUUAUUCCAUCUGCAGAUAUUAUGUGCCCACUGUGUGCCUGAUCCUGCUAGUCACCUUGAAGUUUGGUGUGCAGCCAGUGACAUAUGAGACAAUAUACAGAGAUUAAGACAAAGGGAUUCUGAAAUGCUCUCCACUGGGAUGAAAUGGAUGUGCCUCUUGGAGUUUCUCAUGUGAACCCUUAGCUGAAAUAAAGUCAUUUUAUUUCUGAGGAGCUGAUUGCUUUGUGGUUUUCUGUAGCCCAAGGGUAUUAGUAUGAAUUCCAGUGGGAUUCACCCAGGAUUCUCUUGUACCCAAGUGGUGUAGGAAAUAAUAUGUUAAGCCAGUGCACUUCUGGAUUGAGGAUGUCCAUUCUCCACUUUAAGUUCCCAAACCUGUUUGUCAACUGUGGCACUUAAGAAAGUGGGGAUAGGGCAAGGGGAGGGUAUCUAAAUCAUUGAGUCACAAGUAAUGUACUUCCAUAUCCUCCUCUCAGGAAUCUGGCCAGGUGACACCUAGAUUAGUGAUCUACAUUCAAUAUUGAUGUUCUUUGGUCCCUACUGUCCUAAUUUCAAGGGGCUGUGGAGACUUUCUGUACUGGCAGCUUUUCUUGUGGCAGUACUAUUUUUAUUGAGUAAGAAACUGAGUUCUGUGAACUCGAGUGUCUUUUUCCAAGCAGCAAGUCAGGAGAGCCUGGAAUGAGAAGGCAGGAAGCUUGACUAUGCCCGGAGAAGCUUACUGCAGCAUUUCCACCAGGACAGUCCCACAUCCCACAUAAGGGACAUAGAUGUGCUGGAGAAUAUUGAUCACCUCUUUUUUCCUCAGACCCAUUAAGUUUGCAAUCUGUGGGUCUACUCUUAACCACCCAGAAUACCUGCAUGCAAAGCUUUGACCAAAAAAAAAAAAAAAAAAACCCAACCUCAAACUGUCUUCUGGGCUAUGCUUAUCAAAAAUUCAAUGAUAUUUUUGUAGACAUGUUCAAAGGACAGAAAAACCAAAACAUGAAUUCAUGAUCCAACUUGUCACUGUGAGGAAGAUCAUGGCCUACAUAUGGGAGCUCUGGUUUUAUCUUCCUGAUCUUGAUGUUUUAUUCUAAUUUUUACUUUUCCUAAUCCUGCUUUCAAAAAUUGCUCAGCACCUAUAAGAGUUAGGAAAGG